rnacentral:lncRNA from 1 species
GGGGGGGGGGGAGGAGAAGAGAAGCAGCUUUUCGCUCUAUUCAGCCUGGACGCGGGAGCGCGGACGAUUUCCGCUCCCAUUGUGAGGCGGGGCCCGGGGGCGGCCGUGAAUGGGGGGUCUGCCGAGCGGCCCGCGGGGCUGUCAGGCGGCUCAGCGUAAUCAGGGCUAAUGACGGUGGCCGGGCGCUCCGCGGGACAAUGCGCGGGGCCGCGGGGUUUUGUCGGCCUGAAUGGCUAAUAGGUUCGCCUGGGGGUGCGAGGGGGGCGGUGUCGGGGAAGAGGCGGCGGCGAGGGGAAAAGGGGUCAUUGUUCGCGCACCGGCCCGGGCGCCGAGGCGCGUCCCUCUCCCCGCGCGGCGGCCCCCGGGCCGGGAGCGGCCGACUGGAAGGCCGCGGCCGGGAGGCCCCCUGGAGGCCUGCUGCGACAGGGCGGCGGGAACGGCGGGUGCGUGGGUUCCGCGUACGGGAGGCAGCCCCGACACAACUCUGUUCCCCGGAGACGCCCAGAGGCUUUUAACUCUGCCUGGGGCUGCUUGUCAUCUAUUUGAAGCUCUCCAAAGGGACCUUAGCCCAUUCUGCAAUUCCGGAUAACCCGAAAUGAAGAAGAAAUUGACUCACAGCUAAGCUUCUCUUCUUAUUCCUGUUUCCUACUCCCUCCUCAUGUUGAUCCUGGGAAUAUUCUUCAGUAAAUGUCCUGCACACAAAUUUCCAUCUGAGCCUGUUUCCCUGGCAGCUUGACCUAAGACAUAGAGGAAUGGAUGGCUUGAAUACUCUCCAGGCAAUACCCUAUAAACAUUAUUUUAUCCAACAGAUAUUUGAUAAGUGUUAGGCAGCAGAGUUUCAGGUUAUAUUCCUUGACAUGUACUUGAAGUUCUCUUUUGCUAAUAAAAG